UUAUGUUAUGCCGAAGGUAGA
rnacentral:piRNA from 1 species